rnacentral:rRNA from 1 species
AACGAACGCUGGCGGCAUGCCUAACACAUGCAAGUCGAACGAGACCUUCGGGUCUAGUGGCGCACGGGUGCGUAACGCGUGGGAACCUGCCCUUAGGUUCGGAAUAACUCCCCGAAAGGGGUGCUAAUACCGGAUAAUGUCUUCGGACCAAAGAUUUAUCGCCUUUGGAUGGGCCCGCGUUGGAUUAGCUAGUUGGUAGGGUAAAAGCCUACCAAGGCGACGAUCCAUAGCUGGUCUGAGAGGAUGAUCAGCCACACUGACUGAGACACGGCCCAGACUCCUACGGGAGGCAGCAGUGGGGAAUAUUGGACAAUGGGCGAAAGCCUGAUCCAGCAAUGCCGCGUGAGUGAUGAAGGCCUUAGGGUUGUAAAGCUCUUUUACCCGGGAUGAUAAUGACAGUACCGGGAGAAUAAGCUCCGGCUAACUCCGUG